rnacentral:tRNA from 2 species
GCGGCUGUAGCUCAGUUGGCUAGAGCGUCUGCUUGCCAUGCAGAAGGUCGUGGGUUCGAGUCCCAUCAGCCGCU